UACGUAGGUGGCGAGCGUUGUCCGGAUUUACUGGGCGUAAAGAGCGCGCAGGCGGUCGUUCAAGUCGAGUGUGAAAGCCCCCGGCUCAACUGGGGAGGGUCAUUCGAUACUGAUCGACUGGAAGGCAGGAGAGGGAAGCGGAAUUCCCGGUGUAGUGGUGAAAUGCGUAGAUAUCAGGAGGAACACCAGCGGUGUAGACGGCUUUCUGGACCAUUGCUGACGCUGAGACACGAAAGCGUGGGUAGCGAACAGG
rnacentral:rRNA from 1 species